rnacentral:rRNA from 1 species
GACGAACGCUGGCGGCGUGCUUAACACAUGCAAGUCGAACGGCGUGGCGAACGGGUGCGUAACACGUGGGUGAUCUGCCCUGCCCUUCGGGAUAAGCCUGGGAAACUGGGUCUAAUACCGGAUAGUGUAGGAUGCGCUGGCGGCCUAUCAGCUUGUUGGUGGGGUAAUGGCCUACCAAGGCGGCGACGGGUAGCCGGCCUGAGGGGGUGGACGGCCACAGUGGGACUGAGAGACGGCCCAGACGCCGACGGGAGGCAGCAGGGGGGAAUAUUGCACAAUGGGCGCAAGCCUGAUGCAGCGAGGCCGCGGGGGGGAUGACGGCCUUAGGGUUGUAAACUCCGUUCGGUAGGGACGCGGUACCUAGAUAAGAAGCACCGGCUAACUACGUGCCAGCCGCCGCGGUAAUAC